ACGCUGGCGGCAGGCCUAACACAUGCAAGUCGAGCGGUAGAGAGAAGCUUGCUUCUCUUGAGAGCGGCGGACGGGUGAGUAAUGCCUAGGAAUCUGCCUGGUAGUGGGGGAUAACGUUCGGAAACGGACGCUAUACCGCAUACGUCCUACGGGAGAAAGCAGGGGACCUUCGGGCCUUGCGCUAUCAGAUGAGCCUAGGUCGGAUUAGCUAGUUGGUGGGGUAAUGGCUCACCAAGGCGACGAUCCGUAACUGGUCUGAGAGGAUGAUCAGUCACACUGGAAUUGAGACACGGUCCAGACUCCUACGGGAGGCAGCAGUGGGGAAUAUUGGACAAUGGGCGAAAGCCUGAUCCAGCCAUGCCGCGUGUGUGAAGAAGGUCUUCGGAUUGUAAAGCACUUUAAGUUGGGAGGAAGGGUUGUAGAUUAAUACUCUGCAAUUUUGACGUUACCGACAGAAUAAGCACCGGCUAACUCUGUGCCAGCAGCCGCGGUAAUACAGAGGGUGCAAGCGUUAAUCGGAAUUACUGGGCGUAAAGCGCGCGUAGGUGGUUAGUUAAGUUGGAUGUGAAAUCCCCGGGCUCAACCUGGGAACUGCAUUCAAAACUGACUGACUAGAGUAUGGUAGAGGGUGGUGGAAUUUCCUGUGUAGCGGUGAAAUGCGUAGAUAUAGGAAGGAACACCAGUGGCGAAGGCGACCACCUGGACUGAUACUGACACUGAGGUGCGAAAGCGUGGGGAGCAAAC
rnacentral:rRNA from 1 species